rnacentral:rRNA from 1 species
UACAGAGGUCCCGAGCGUUGUUCGGAUUCACUGGGCGUAAAGGGUGCGUAGGCGGUCGGGUAAGUCUGAUGUGAAAUCUCGGAGCUCAACUCCGAAACUGCAUUGGAUACUAUUCGGCUUGAGGUCUGGAGGGGGGACUGGAAUUCUCGGUGUAGCAGUGAAAUGCGUAGAUAUCGAGAAGAACACCCGUGGCGAAGGCGGCUCUCUGGAACGCAACUGACGCUGAGACGCGAAAGCGUGGGGAGCAAACAGG